UACGUACGAGGCGAGCGUUAUCCGGAAUUACUGGGCGUAAAGCGUGCGCAGGCGGUUUGCUAAGACCGAUGUGAAAUCCCCGGGCUUAACCUGGGAACUGCAUUGGUGACUGGCAAGCUAGAGUGUGGCAGAGGGGGGUAGAAUUCCACGUGUAGCAGUGAAAUGCGUAGAGAUGUGGAGGAAUACCGAUGGCGAAGGCAGCCCCCUGGGCCAACACUGACGCUCAUGCACGAAAGCGUGGGGAGCAAACAGG
rnacentral:rRNA from 1 species